GCAUCGGUAGCUCAGUGGAAUGAGAGCGCAGGUCUCCGGAGCCUGAGGACGCGAGUUCGAAUCUCGCCCGAUGCU
rnacentral:tRNA from 1 species